GAUGAACGCUGGCGGCGUGCCUAAUACAUGCAAGUCGAGCGAACAGACGAGGAGCUUGCUCCUCUGACGUGAGCGGCGGACGGGUGAGUAACACGUGGAUAACCUACCUAUAAGACUGGGAUAACUUCGGGAAACCGGAGCUAAUACCGGAUAAUAUAUUGAACCGCAUGGAUCAAUAGUGAAAGACGGUUUUGAUGUCACUUAGAGAUGGAUCCGCGCCGCAUUAGCUAGUUGGUAAGGUAACGGCUUACCAAGGCAACGAUGCGUAGCCGACCUGAGAGGGUGAUCGGCCACACUGGAACUGAGACACGGUCCAGACUCCUACGGGAGGCAGCAGUAGGGAAUCUUCCGCAAUGGGCGAAAGCCUGACGGAGCAACGCCGCGUGAGUGAUGAAGGUCUUCGGAUCGUAAAACUCUGUUAUUAGGGAAGAACAAAUGUGUAAGUAACUAUGCACGUCUUGACGGUACCUAAUCAGAAAGCCACGGCUAACUACGUG
rnacentral:rRNA from 1 species